AUUGAACGCUGGCGGCAUGCCUUACACAUGCAAGUCGAACGGUAACAGGUUAAGCUGACGAGUGGCGAACGGGUGAGUAAUGUAUCGGAACGUGCCCAGUCGUGGGGGAUAACUGCUCGAAAGAGCAGCUAAUACCGCAUACGACCUGAGGGUGAAAGCGGGGGAUCGCAAGACCUCGCGCGAUUGGAGCGGCCGAUAUCAGAUUAGGUAGUUGGUGAGGUAAAGGCUCACCAAGCCGACGAUCUGUAGCUGGUCUGAGAGGACGACCAGCCACACUGGGACUGAGACACGGCCCAGACUCCUAAGGGAGGCAGCAGUGGGGAAUUUUGGACAAUGGGCGCAAGCCUGAUCCAGCCAUGCCGCGUGCGGGAAGAAGGCCUUCGGGUUGUAAACCGCUUUUGUCAGGGAAGAAAAGGUUCUGGCUAAUACCUGGGACUCAUGACGGUACCUGAAGAAUAAGCACCGGCUAACUACGUG
rnacentral:rRNA from 1 species